rnacentral:rRNA from 1 species
AGAGUUUGAUCCUGGCUCAGGACGAACGCUGGCGGUGUGCUUAACACAUGCAAGUCGAACGGUAAGGCCCUUUCGGGGGUACACGAGUGGCGAACGGGUGAGUAACACGUGAGUAACCUGCCCUCAUCUCUGGGAUAACAGUCGGAAACGGUUGCUAAUACUGGAUAUGAGCUUGCAAGGCAUCUUGUGGGUUGGAAAGAUAUUUUUUGGUUGGGGAUGGACUCGCGGCCUAUCAGCUUGUUGGUGAGGUAGUGGCUCACCAAGGCUUCGACGGGUAGCCGGCCUGAGAGGGCGACCGGCCACAUUGGGACUGAGAUACGGCCCAAACUCCUACGGGAGGCAGCAGUGGGGAAUAUUGCACAAUGGACGGAAGUCUGAUGCAGCAACGCCGCGUGCGGGAUGACGGCCUUCGGGUUGUAAACCGCUUUCAAUUGUGACGAAGCUUUUUUGUGACGGUAGCAGUAGAAGAAGCACCGGCUAACUACGUGCCAGCAGCCGCGGUGAUACGUAGGGUGCGAGCGUUGUCCGGAUUUAUUGGGCGUAAAGAGCUUGUAGGCGGUUUGUCGCGUCGGGAGUGAAAACUUGGGGCUUAACCCUGAGCUUGCUUUCGAUACGGGCUGACUUGAGGGAGGUAGGGGAGAAUGGAAUUCCUGGUGGAGCGGUGGAAUGCGCAGAUAUCAGGAGGAACACCGGUGGCGAAGGCGGUUCUCUGGACCUUUCCUGACGCUGAGAAGCGAAAGCGUGGGGAGCGAACAGGCUUAGAUACCCUGGUAGUCCACGCCGUAAACGGUGGGUACUAGGUGUGGGGGACAUUCCACGUUCUCCGUGCCGUAGCUAACGCAUUAAGUACCCCGCCUGGGGAGUACGGCCGCAAGGCUAAAACUCAAAGGAAUUGACGGGGCCCCGCACAAGCGGCGGAGCAUGCGGAUUAAUUCGAUGCAACGCGAAGAACCUUACCAGGGCUUGACAUGGGGGCGGCGGCGCCGGAGACGGCGCCUCCCUUUUUCGGGCGCCCCCGCAGGUGGUGCAUGGUUGUCGUCAGCUCGUGUCGUGAGAUGUUGGGUUAAGUCCCGCAACGAGCGCAACC